rnacentral:snoRNA from 1 species
UGCCUUUGUGUUGCCCAUUCAUUUUACUUUCUAGAUGAAUGUGGUGUCAAACAAGGCGUACAGUAACUUUUGCAUAAAUCUUGGAGGGGUACUUUAACUAUGUACCUUAACCAUUGUACCUAAUUAUUUAAAUGCACAAACACUG